rnacentral:rRNA from 1 species
GAUGAACGCUGGCGGCGUGCCUAAUACAUGCAAGUCGAGCGAACGGACGAGAAGCUUGCUUCUCUGAUGUUAGCGGCGGACGGGUGAGUAACACGUGGAUAACCUACCUAUAAGACUGGGAUAACUUCGGGAAACCGGAGCUAAUACCGGAUGAUCUUUUGAACCGCAUGGUUCAAAAGUGAAAGACGGUCUUGCUGUCACUUAUAGAUGGAUCCGCGCUGCAUUAGCUAGUUGGUAAGGUAACGGCUUACCAAGGCAACGAUGCAUAGCCGACCUGAGAGGGUGAUCGGCCACACUGGAACUGAGACACGGUCCAGACUCCUACGGGAGGCAGCAGUAGGGAAUCUUCCGCAAUGGGCGAAAGCCUGACGGAGCAACGCCGCGUGAGUGAUGAAGGUCUUCGGAGCGUAAAACUCUGUUAUUAGGGAAGAACAUAUGUGUAAGUAACUGUGCACAUCUUGACGGUACCUAAUCAGAAAGCCACGGCUAACUACGUG